rnacentral:lncRNA from 1 species
UUUGAUUAGGAUUUGAUUUAGGAUUUAGGAUUUGGUUAGGAUUUGAUUUAGGGUUUAGGAUUUGGUUUAGGAUUUAGGAUUUGAUUUAGGAUUUAAGAUUUGGUUAAGGUUUGAUCAAGAUUUGAUUUAGGAUUUAGGAUUUAGGAUUUUAUUUGAGUUUAUUUAGGAUUUAAGAUUUAAUUAUUUUUUGACUUAAAGUUUGAAUGAAGUAAGAUUUCAAUUAGGAUUAAAUUAAGAUUGAAUUGAGAUGUAUUUGAGAUAUGUUUGUAAUCAUUCUAAUAUUUCUUUAAGAUUUCUUAUUGUUUCUUUGGAAUUCCUUUGAGGUUUCUCUGAAUUUGAUUAAAACUUGUUUAGCACUGUUAGUGUUCUAUUAGAAUUAGGAUUUUCUUGUUGCAAUUUCCAUUCUACCUUCCACAACUAUGUACCCAAAGCAUUUUCAAGCAAGACUUCACGUAUUAUGACAUCAAUUGACAAAAUUGGAAGAAUUAGAUGAAAUUUGGACUACUAAUGUUUUAAUGAUAGAAACUAUCUA